UACGGAGGGUGCAAGCGUUAUCCGGAUUUACUGGGUUUAAAGGGUGCGUAGGUGGGUUGGUAAGUCAGUGGUGAAAUACUUUCGCUUAACGAGGGAACUGCCAUUGAUACUACCAGUCUUGAAUACAGUGGAGGUAGGCGGAAUGCGUCAUGUAGCGGUGAAAUGCUUAGAUAUGACGCAGAACACCAAUUGCGAAGGCAGCUUGCUACACUGUUAUUGACACUGAGGCACGAAAGCGUGGGGAUCAAACAGG
rnacentral:rRNA from 1 species